rnacentral:rRNA from 1 species
UACAGAGGGUGCGAGCGUUAAUCGGAAUUACUGGGCGUAAAGCGUGCGUAGACGGUAGCGUAAGUCAGAUGUGAAAGCCCCGGGCUCAACCUGGGAAUUGCAUUUGAGACUGCUCUGCUCGGGUGCGGAAGAGGGAAGCGGAAUUUCCGGUGUAGCGGUGAAAUGCGUAGAUAUCGGAAGGAACACCAGUGGCGAAGGCGGUCUGCUGGGCCAAGACUGACGCUGAGGCGCGACAGCGUGGGGGAGCAAACAGG